GAAAUGCGAUAAGUAAUGUGAAUUGCAGAAUUCAGUGAAUCAUCGAAUCUUUGAACGCACCUUGCGCUCCUUGGUAUUCCGAGGAGCAUGCCUGUUUGAGUGUCAUGAAAUCUUCAACCUACAAAGUUUUGUAGGCUUGGACUUGGAGGCUUGUCGGCCUGGCGGUCGGCUCCUCUUAAAUGCAUUAGCUUGAUUCCUUGCGGAUCGGCUCUCGGUGUGAUAAUCGUCUACGCCGCGACCGUGAAGCGUCUGGCGAGCUUCUAACCGUCUCGUGUGAGACAGCUCUUUGACCUCUGACCUCAAAUCAGGUAGGACUACCCGCUGAACUUAA
rnacentral:misc_RNA from 1 species